UUUUUAGUGGUUCCCAGUGACUGGACAAGGGGCAGUGGGCACAAACUGGAACACAGGAGGCUACCUCUGAGCAUCAGGAA
rnacentral:miRNA from 12 species